rnacentral:rRNA from 1 species
CAGUCGCCGCGGGAAUACAGAGGGUGCAAGCGUUAAUCGGAAUUACUGGGCGUAAAGCGCGCGUAGGUGGUUUGUUAAGUUGAAUGUGAAAUCCCCGGGCUCAACCUGGGAACUGCAUCCAAAACUGGCAAGCUAGAGUAGGGCAGAGGGUGGUGGAAUUUCCUGUGUAGCGGUGAAAUGCGUAGAUAUAGGAAGGAACACCAGUGGCGAAGGCGACCACCUGGGCUCAUACUGACACUGAGGUGCGAAAGCGUGGGGAGCAAACAGGAUUAGAGACCCCUGUAGUCCCUGUCUCUUAUAC